CUGUAGCCCAUCCUCCCCUCGGUCGGAUUUACUCAGAAGUAAAUGUCCAUUGAAUUCAGUGGGGCUGCCUUCCUGAUAUGUGUGCAUCAUGGGCUUGCAACUCAACCCUGUGCAUGAUUGUCUGCCUACUCAAAACUAUCGGCUUGUGAUUGGACCCCCUGCCGCCUCUCACACAUUCUACUUCCUUUGCACCUUCUGAUGAAGCAGACUCUUUGCUGCAAAAGACUGGCACGGUUACAUCUGCAGGUUGACGAGGCUCUGUCGUCGCCAGUCUUUAAUAGAAUCCAGUUCAUCCUGCACCUAAUGAAGUUGCUUGUCAAAAUUGCAGGCCAUACCAAGCACUUAAGGAAACAUCUUGAGCAUACAUAUGCAGACUCCCUUCCAGAUGUUUGUAUAUCAAUGCCAUGAAAAUUACAAAGCCAUCCUAUAAAUCUACUUGCUUUAUUAUCAAACUAUUAUUUUACUAUCUCCACUUACUUACAAUUCACACGUUACUCACAACUCUAAACACCAUCAUCUCAUCAUUUGAACAUAAAUUUCUUAAGUAGCUAGAAUGUGCAAUAAAAGCUCAUGAUUCAAUAGGUGUGUAGGCAAGGAUUCAUUUCUUUGCCGACACACCUACUGCCAUGCUCCCACUAGAAUGUGACAUUGCACGGAAUACCAUGUUUUCCUAUUCCUGUGCUUUAUGUGCUGGUUUUAUACUAGGUUUUCUCUGAUGCAAGUGAGCAUUCAAACGUUCAAUUCCCCACCAGAUUUUUCAAGUGAACACGGUUACAGGAUAAGAUGCUUUUCUUGAAAACAUGAAUCAGAUAUAAGUUUCAAAAGAAGUCUUUUACUCAGUUGGAUCUCCUUGUUUAUGCAGAAUUGCUUAUUUUAUUAACACAUGCUUUGCGUUCCAUUGAAAAACAUUGGUUUGCUAUCCCAUUAAUUAAUGAUUCACUUGGAAGAUGAGGGAUGAAGAUAUGGAUGAGCUAUGUGUCUGUAUAAAAAACUUUUAUGAACUAAGAUAUUUUACAAGAACAUAUUCAAACUCGCAUAAAUGCAUACAUUCUAAAAGUACACAUCUGUUUACCUUG